rnacentral:rRNA from 1 species
ACUCAGUAAAGCUAAGAAAAGCAGAGCUCUUACCUCGUACCUUUUGCAUCAUGAUUUAACAAGUAUAACCAAGCAAAGAGCAUUUUAGUUUGACCCCCGAAACCCAAGUGAGCUACUCCAAGACAACCUAAAGAUUAGGGUAAACCCGUCUCUGUGGCAAAAGAGUGGGAAGAGCUUCGAGUAGAGGUGACAGACCAAUCGAACUUGGUAAUAGCUGGUUGCUUGAGAAAUGAAUAGAAGUUCUGCCUCUUACAUUCUUACCUCAAAUCUGGGCUAUAAUGGCCCGAUCCCAUAGCCAAAUGGAAGUAAGAGAGUUAAUCUAAGGGGGUACAGCCCCUUUGAAACAAGACACAACUUUCCCAGAAGGGUAAAGAUCAUAAUCCACAAGGUAACUAUGCCCCGGUGGGCCUAAAAGCAGCCAUCCAAUUAGAAAGCGUUAAAGCUCUAACAUACUUCCCCCCACGAUCCCGAUAACAAAUCUUAACCCCCUAAAUAUAUCAAGCCGUCCCAUAAAAACAUGGGAGCGAUUAUGCUAAAAUGAGUAAUCAGAGAAGUCCACUUCUCUCCCCGUACAUGUGUAAAUCGGAGCGGACCUCCCACCGAAAUUUAACGACCCCAAAUGAUAGAGGGCACUGAAUGAUAAAUAGCAUACAAGAAAAUUAUUCAAAAACAUACCGUUAACCCCACACUGGUGUACCCCAAAGGAAAGACCUAAAGGAAAAGAAGGAACUCGGCAAAUACCCCUAAGCCUCGCCUGUUUACCAAAAACAUCGCCUCUUGCUAACUGCACAUAAGAGGUCUUGCCUGCCCUGUGACCCCUGGUUCAACGGCCGCGGUAUUUUAACCGUGCAAAGGUAGCGCAAUCACUUGUCUCUUAAAUGAAGACCUGUAUGAAUGGCACAACGAGGGCUUAACUGUCUCCUUUCCCCGGUCAAUGAAAUUGAUCUUCCCGUGCAGAAGCGGGAAUCCUAACAUAAGACGAGAAGACCCUAUGGAGCUUUAGACUCCAGAACAGAUCAUGUAAGCUACCACCAUAAAAUAGGUAACAACCAUUGAACUUCUGUUCCCCUGUCUUCGGUUGGGGCGACUACGGGGGACAAAAAAACCCCCAUGUGGACCAGGAGCACAUUACUCCUACAACCAUGAGCCACAGCUCUAAUGCACGAAACAUUUGACCAUUAGAUCCGGCAAAGCCGAUUAACGGACCAAGUUACCCUAGGGAUAACAGCGCAAUCCCCUUUAAGAGUUCCUAUCGACAAGGGGGUUUACGACCUCGAUGUUGGAUCAAGACAUCCUAAUGGUGCAGCCGCUAUUAAGGGUUCGUUUGUUCAACGAUUAAAGUCUU